rnacentral:lncRNA from 1 species
GGGUGUGGUAGAUAGGUCCUUUCCAUAAUUUUUCCAUAAUUUUUAGUUGUAGAGAUAAGUACUCAGAAGUUGAACUAAACACAGCCAGCAUAGAGAGAAUCUCAGGCUAAGAGACUAUACUAAUGUGUUUGAGUAUAGUAUACUCUUAGGACCCCUCAUAUGUAAUGUUAAUGUAAAUUUGUUACAUUUAGCACAUACUUCAAGAAAACAUAAAAAGU